rnacentral:rRNA from 1 species
UACGUAGGGGGCAAGCGUUAUCCGGAUUUACUGGGUGUAAAGGGAGCGUAGACGGCUUGGCAAGCCAGAUGUGAAAGGCUGGGGCUCAACCCCAGGACUGCAUUUGGAACUGUCAUGCUAGAGUGUCGGAGAGGCAGGCGGAAUUCCUAGUGUAGCGGUGAAAUGCGUAGAUAUUAGGAGGAACACCAGUGGCGAAGGCGGCCUGCUGGACGAUGACUGACGUAGAGGCUCGAAAGCGUGGGGAGCAAACAGG